UACGUAGGGGGCAAACGUUGUCCGGAUUUACUGGGUGUAAAGGGUGCUCAGGCGGUUUUGUAAGUCAGAAGUGAAAUCCUAGAGCUUAACUCUGGAACUGCUUUUGAUACUGCAAGGCUUGAAUGUGGAAGAGGAGGAUGGAAUUUCUGGUGUAGCAGUGAAAUGCGUAGAUAUCAGAAAGAACACCAGUGGCGAAGGCGGUCCUCUGGUCCACUAUUGACGCUAAAGCACGAAAGCGUGGGGAGCAAACAGGAUUAGAUACCCUGGUAGUCCACGCCUUAAACGAUGAAUACUAGACGUUGGGGUUAAACUCAGUGUCGCAGCUAACGCAUUAAGUAUUCCACCUGGGGAGUACGAUCGCAAGGUUG
rnacentral:rRNA from 1 species